rnacentral:lncRNA from 1 species
UUUGGUGGGAAAUGUUCUUCAUUUUAGAUAAUGAAACCAUUCCAUUACUACCAACCCAAAGAAAUACGACCUCUCUGAGAUAUACGGUUUAUGCCGUAAAGGUACGAAGUUGGACUAAUUUGGAAACAUUGGGCAAUUUACUUUAUACCUACUAUUCGUCUGGUUUUUGGUUCCUAGUCUGAUUUUAUUAGUAGCCAUGAUUGGGGCUAUAGUACUAACUAUGCAUAGGACUACCCACGGAGCGGUGAAAAGACAGGAUGUAUUCCGACGAAAUGCUAUUUCUUUUAGGAGGACUAUAAUGAGGAGGACGACAGACCCAAUCACGAGAUAAUAAAGGAAAAGAAAGGAACGUCAGAUUGGUUCGAAUCCAAUUCGUGGUGAGAUAACAGGAAUCUAAAACUAAGAAUGCCAAUAAUCUACUCCUUGACUCCGAUUCAUUCAAAACUUCUUGUGAGGAGACUCAGAAAAGACUUCUAAAAUAGAUCACAGUCAAACAUAGAACGUACGUAAAUUAAAAAAGUCUUUACCUCCGACCUCACUUUGAAAACAAGGAAGAAAGGAACUUUUCACUACCGAUAUACAAAGAAGGAGAAAUGCUCAUCUUUCUCUAUAGUACGAAGCACUCAUAGCACUUGCUGGGAUCAAUUCUUGGAUCACUAAGAGGCAUUCUAAAAACUUAUUCUCUUCCGAAAAGAAGAGAGGCAUCUUCAGGUAGUUAGAAGCAGGUAGUAAUGCUGGGGGUUUGGGGACCGCAGCCCCCCUUGUAAGCAGUAACCAUGUUCUCGUGGCGGUGCCUUUCUUAUUGAUUUGGUGGGGGUGGCUUUCUUGGUUUAAAGAAUAUCUCUUAGAGGUUAGCUCUCUGGUAAGCGAAUAAGGUAGUGCUAACUAUCUUCGCAAGAUGAGAGCAAGCAAGUCCCGAGAGAAAGUAAGCAGGUAGUGCUUUCGCGCAUAGCAGGUCUCGUGUGCAUGAAUGUGUUGAUUGCGCCUUUGUCUUUUCUUUAAUAAAUAUCUCUUAGCUCUGCCAAUUAGUAGGACUUCCUGCACUGAAAGCUUAGUAAAGUAGAGAAGAAAGAGGAUGCACAACGAAGAGAAGCCAAGACCCAAUACCCAAGGACGAAAGGGAGAAUGUAAAAGAGAACCACUCAGCCCAAAGGGAAGAAGACUAAAGACAACCAAAAUGGGAGCGGAGAAGAAUGAAGCCAACCCCCGAAAAAGGUAAAAAAAAGAAGAAAGCGGCAAACUCCAGAGAGAGGGGAAGGGCAGAGAAGUAAACCAUCCAGAGAGGGAGAAAAAAGGAGGAAGAAAUAGGAUUCGGAUGAAGAAUAAGAAAGAGAGAACGAUGCCGAGGCUAAAGUCAAAACCUAAGUCGAAGUUCAAGCUAAAGAAGAUGCCUAAGUUGAAGCUUAAGUCGAUGCCAAAGCCGGUCUGGAAUAGGGAACACCAAUUGAAAUAGCUGCCUUCCCUUACUAAUGUGGGAUCAGUUCCUCUCGAACACCUCCUAGGAGCGUCGCAUUCGAUGCAUCUAGGGUUUUAUUUUAGAGAGGCGCCUUGCGUGGGUGCUAUCUAAAUUGAGGUUUUUCCUACCUAGCUCAAUAAUGGAGAGAAUGCCCUUACGGGGUUAUUUCCGUUCAGUCUAAUCCUAUUCUCAUGUGCAAAGGCUUAUCGAUCCCUUUUGAGUCAGAUGUGGCAUUGCUGAUUUGAGAGCAGUUGUCCUUUCUACUAAAAUUAUCCCUGCUUUUCGCCCGUCGCUCAUGUGUUAAGCCAUGUCUUCAGCCUAGUGCCAUCUACACCAUAUCUGAUUUCCUUUCCUUCCCGCUCUGAUCCAGCUACUCCUCUUCUUUUAAUGCCUACAGAGAGGUUUAGUUAGCCUGCUUCCUCUCUGUUCAAGGAGCGCUUAUUCCUUCUUCGAGAGCAGCUUAUUCUUGUGCUACAGUACAGAACAAGGCAUUCGAGCAAAGGCAUAAAGAAGCCUAGCCUUUAGUUCACUUGCAAGAGAGAGAGCCCAGAGAGAGUGCCCUUAUUUAUACAACGUCCUUACUUUCUUCGAUGCGCCUAGUAAAGUAGCCAUAUUCACAGGAAAGGAAGCCAUAGACCGAUGGCAUAAAAUGAGUUAGAUUUCCUGUGCUAACAAGAAGCAAUUUCUUCGGGUAGCUCAUCAGGAUGAAAGAAGCAGCCGUAGCAUGAAAGAAAGAGAAGUAGAGUAGGAUGAAGGAAGCAGAAGUGAUAGGCAAGCGUGCCUGGAAGCGCAAUGCUAUUGUAGCAGCUCCUUAGCCUUCUUUCAGUCCUCCAUUCUCUCUUUGGAAAUGUGUAUCACCAUACACUCAUCUCAUACCAGAUACUGAAUCUAGGGCUAAGUUCCAAUCUUUCAACCUUUUUUCAUAUAUUUGACUUGGAGAUUCCCGGUCUUCUGUCUUAACCCUGACCCUAUUCAGAGAGACUCUUCAACAGCACCUUUUCGCACCCAGCAUCUUAGCAAUGUUCCGAAUGUCUGGUCAUUGAUAAUCUUUCUCAUAGAUUAGUUUGAUGCCGACUAGAUUUGAUCACAACUAACGGGUAGUACUAUAGGGGUCUUACUCUCAGCAGUGAAUGACAAAGGAAUGUGGAAUGUCAAGCUGUGAAACUGAAAUCAUCAAUCUUUUGCUUUUUCUAUUCCGUGUAGCGGAGACUUUUUAGUAAAAAUACCAAGCUGUGAGACUUCUUCAGUGAGAAUCCCAGUGUGAAAGACUUGGCAAGAUUGGCUUCGUAGUGGUACCACAACUUGGAUGAACAAGUCGAAACUUCUCUUUUUGGCUAUACCUCCUGUAAAUCAAAACACAAGUUUAGGGCACCCUAACGGUGGGACACGACAUGGAGAUUGAAUCAUCUUUCUCUCUUUAACCUCUUUCCCUCAUUACUGAAGCGAGUGUUCGGGCAGGUGGAGUGAUAGCUAAGCGAGUCAGUCAACGAGCGGGAUAUAUGAAGUGAACCAGAUAGGGCCCCGGGUUUCAUUCCGCCUUGUUCCAAGUAACAAGAUCUAUUUCGAGAAAAAAGUGGGGGAUUCUUUAGCUAGAGCAAAGGGCUAUUUCGUGAACUCGAGGAAGAAUGAGUACUAGUCCUGGCUUUUAAAAGACUAGUUCCUGUCCUGUCUGUGUCUGAGGGAGCAGCAAAGCCCCCGAAGCGGUAUAAGAGAAAGAAGUCAGUGCUGCUUUUGCUGUUACAGAAUCUGCUUUUUCUAGUUCAAAUAGUGUCUCACAUUCAAGCCCGGAAAUUCUUGUUUGAAUGCCCAAAGAUCUGCCUUAUCGAACAUCUAAGACUGAGAAGACUGAUGGCAUUAAGGCAUAAGCUGCUAUCGAAUCUAGCUAUCCUGAAGUGACUUAAAUAUGAAUGAAUAGAAAGAGAAAGAGAAUAGGCGGAGAAUGCCCUGAGAGAGGGAGCUGUGAGGGAAGGGAAGCUACCUUGCGUCUACUAGAACAAGUACUAGCACUAAUGAAAGGGAAAUGUUUAAUCAGGUCAAUAAAGCUGAGAUGCUUCUACUUCCCAAAUUGCCUCUGCUGGCAUCAUCCAAAGAGAAAGACUCAGUCUUAGUGGUUGCCAAUAGAGAAGGUAGAAGGCGCUUUAGCCCUUUUGCUUGCUGAGAAAUGCCCCCCUUUUUGCCUAUCUCACUUGUUUACAGCUCUUAUGGGUAUUUAGCGCUGCUUUCACAUGAUGCAAUAUCUAGGCCUCCUAGACCUGUUCUCUCGCCCAAGCCUCACAGCAUUCUAUUCCAAGCACUAAGUAUUCCCUGCCUGCUCAGAUGCGUCAAUCCACCUAUAUGUACCCUUUUCCUCGCAUAGAGAGCUCUAGUAGUUCUUGGUAGGAGGGAACUAAGACUUUAUCUAAGGUUCAUUUCUAUUUGCUCUCCCGCUACGCUAGUACUUAAGAGACUAUCUUAGCCCAGAGUGAUCCCCCACUACCAAAGUGGAGACACCUUUAUCUCGUCAGCCUCCUUACCGCUCCGUGGGCUACCUUCACGUCACUUCCUUGAACUCGCUUAAGGAAAUCCCAAGCUCCAACACUCGAAAAGAAAAACUACACAACAACAAGGCAAUGGGGCCUACAAAGCCCCAUUUAUACCACCACUCAAAAUGACAACUCAAAACACCAAUUAUGAAACCCUCUCUCUCCCACUUCACACCUCGGAACGCACCGUUCUUAUAGAGAGAAAGGCGCUUUCACAUCUUCUUAACCCGAAAUGGCUGGGGAGAGGUAAGGUUCUUUUUUUUAGGGUACUCCUGGGAACAGAUCCAGUGGAGACGAGGUGGGGCCUAUAGCUCAGAGGAUUAGAGCACGUGGGACAGGUGAGGGAAGGAAGAAAGAUCUCUGAUCCAGUGGAUGCUUGAAGUGAGGUAAGCCGAUCCCAUGAGAAGGGUUCAAGCCGAGCUCCUUUAGCUAGUAGAAAGCGGUUAGCGCCUGUCGUAAAGGGCAUUAGGUUUUGAAAGAAGACCUGAAGACCGGGUUGUGACAAUGAAAAUUUUUCCUAUUGAUUUGAGUGCCGAUAUUAUCGUUUUGUAAAAUAUUAAAGGUUGACAAGGUACGGUACGUCAGUUCCGGGACUUAUCUUGAGAAGGGGAGUUUGAAGCCCGCCCCAUGGAAGGUGGGAUUCGAAUGUCACGUCUUUAGUUGUGCCCGAAGCGGGUAAGGUCAAGUUGUACCCGAUCUACUGAUCGAUCGUAGACCAGUCUUGUAGUUGAUUCUUCGGCUAUUUUUUAUUCUUCUUUAAAGGAUCCACGGAGCCUGUCCCCGGGAUUGAAUCUUGUUCAGUGAAGCGAAGAAUGGUAAUAUUUUUACUCCUUAGAAGAUUGGAUUCGAGUGUCACACUCUUUAGCUGCCGUUAAGCGGUUAAGUAGGAAGGAUAGGGCUAUUGUUGUUGUAGUAGAAGCUAAAGGUUGUCAACUGAUGUUCUGUUCCAGGUUUUUCCAGCUUGAAAAUGAAGACGAAGCAGCCAUCCCAUGGAAGAUGGGCGGUGAGUAGAAAGGCUUUUAGCGCUGUGCUGCGGCAUGGGCCCUUCAGCGUCUAGGCAAACUCUUUCAUAACCUUGUCCCUUGUGUCGUUGAGAGGAGUCUAAAGCCAGAUAAGACCAUUCCCUAAGGGACUUUUUCUUAGAAAGUCAGGCUGGUUGUCAAUCAGAAGAUCAGGCCAAAAUCGACGAUUCUAGACGGGUUGAGACAUUCUUGUCGGUCAAUGUGGAUUUCUUGCCUGACAGAUAGCCUUUUUUUUCUGCCGGAGGUAGUAAGUUAGCGAGAGGGGUGAAGCAGGCUAGCGAUUCUACUAUUACGUUCCAGUAGUAAGCUGAUAGUCCGCUAUCUUCUCUUAGGUAGCAGCACAUGGGAGUAGCAAGAAUCUGCCUCCCGCAUAAGAUAGAAGGGGCGAAGCGCUAGUUAGUGGGAAGAGUCCUUUCUGGCCCCUGGCGAGAAGACGGCUCACGGCUUGCAUGUACAAGAUCGUAGUGAAAUCGCAGCUUCACCGUCCGUUCGCGCUGAUCCCGAGCAGCGUGUCAGCCGAGAGGGAACUCGGUAAAGAAAUUCGGCUCGAGGGCCUCUAUUUCCACAGGCUUUGUCUUGUUUCUAUAGGAUCUGCUGCUCCAACCCUAUCUACUUGUGAUGUACCCUGGGUUGGUUUGGCCUUUUACGUAAUCCUUUCCGCUGAUGGUUAUGGGUAAACCACAGUAAAGCAGAAAGGAAAGCCUCUCAGGACAACGUUUUCGUCGCCGUUAAAGCCGAGAGAGAAGUCUCUAAAGCCCGCUAUGGUCUGGGCUCUCGCUUACGUCGUCCGUCCGGGGGACUCCAUUACGCUGCUCGCCCUAUUAGCCGGCGGCAACCAUGGUAAUUUAUUAAUUUCAGCCAGUCCGUAAUUUGUUGAAUAAUAGCAGCCGGUUGAGAUAUUUCGCCAGGAAAUUCAUCUUCGGUAUGGUACACAUAUCUAUACAGUAUUGCAGAGACGAGCUGGCUAGACUCUUAUCGAAAUUGCGUAUAGAAAGAGAUUCGUCUUGAAAGCUAGACAGACAAUUUCUAUUCCCUAUGGCCCAUGUGAUAGUGAAAGACAACAUUGUCCUAGAACGGUCAAAUAGAAUUUGAAUCUUCUAUUUGACUUCCUACGGGCAUCACAUGAUUACCAUAGUAUAUGAAGACCUCAGUCAGCUCCCCACCAAUGAGCGGUGGUGCUUCUGUUCCAGUCGACUCAUUACCAUAGUCAGGAUGCAACCGUGUAUAGUUUCUUUUGUUGUAUAUGAUGUACCUAGGUUGNNNNNNNNNNNNNNNNNNNNNNNNNNNNNNNNNNNNNNNNNNNNNNNNNNNNNNNNNNNNNNNNNNNNNNNNNNNNNNNNNNNNNNNNNNNNNNNNNNNNNNNNNNNNNNNNNNNNNNNNNNNNNNNNNNNNNNNNNNNNNNNNNNNNNNNNNNNNNNNNNNNNNNNNNNNNNNNNNNNNNNNNNNNNNNNNNNNNNNNNNNNNNNNNNNNNNNNNNNNNNNNNNNNNNNNNNNNNNNNNNNNNNNNNNNNNNNNNNNNNNNNNNNNNNNNNNNNNNNNNNNNNNNNNNNNNNNNNNNNNNNNNNNNNNNNNNNNNNNNNNNNNNNNNNNNNNNNNNNNNNNNNNNNNNNNNNNNNNNNNNNNNNNNNNNNNNNNNNNNNNNNNNNNNNNNNNNNNNNNNNNNNNNNNNNNNNNNNNNNNNNNNNNNNNNNNNNNNNNNNNNNNNNNNNNNNNNNNNNNNNNNNNNNNNNNNNNNNNNNNNNNNNNNNNNNNNNNNNNNNACUCUAUAACCUUGCUCACUCUAGAACCAGGGGGAGACUCACUGGCUGACUCCUACUCCUACUCAUACAGGCUUAGCUUACAGAGUAGCUUUCCUCUAGCUUACUUUGAAUCACCCUUAACCUACUUCCAAAAAGGGUGAACCAUAGAAUGAUGAUUAGCGGGCUAGGAUCUGAGUUUGUGGCUUCCUUGCUAGCGGGAUAGAAAGUAGGCUAAGGAAGGGUUAAGGGAAUUACUUACAGCGACGAAAGGGUUAGAGCGUUAGAUGAGGGUUAGAGAGUGGGACUAGUUCUCCUACUACAACGAGGGGAUCUAUACUCCAGGUUAGAGGAUAGACUCAUAUACCAGGCACUAAGGGUUAGAACGUAGCCUGACUCUAUACUUUUGGGUUUAGGGUUUCAGCGUGGGAUUAACUUAAGAACUACGCCUACAAGGCGGUUAGCUGUGCUUCCCUUCCUCAACGGUAACUGGCAGCUAAGACUGCUUAUUCCUUGUUCACAUUCAACUUCCUUACCUUAAAACCAUGAGCAGAGUGCCGCCGAGAGGAAUCGGACUUAUUUAAUCAUUCCCAUUGAUUGUAGUCGUUUAGUUCCAUUCGUUCGCUUUAGAAAGGGUAGUUACCCCUGGUCUUUCUCACCUUGGGCUUGAGCCAGUAGAAAUGACUUAAUCAAGAGAGAGAACCCCUUUGAACGGGAUCAACUAUAUCCACUUAAGUCGGCCUUACUCGGGUGAAUUUCUACGCUUAUCUCAUCUGCUAGCUCGCCUUCUUCUUUAACUAGUCUUUACUUUAGCAUUCUCUUUCUCUUUCUCUUUCUGGCUUAGCCUAGCCCAUGAGAACAUACUUUUCUUUUUCAAUUCAUUUCCAUCGGACUUAUCCGGGUUCUAAUUAAUAAGUAGCUUGCCUGGGGGUGAGCUCCUCCUACUGAUCUUACUCCAAGAGAUUCAAUAUCACCGGAGAGAAAGCCUAGUCACAGGAACUGAAACAAUUGAAUUACCUGAGGCUAUCCCAGUUCCAGUUUCGGUAACACGAGAAAGUCUGUCUUUUGGCAUAUAUCUGUCUUCUUCUUUAAACCCCUAAACUAUUCCUUAUAGUAUAAUCUACCUACGCAACUCUUUUGAAGUUAAGCAGGCUUCAAAGCUUUAAGGGCUAGGCUUGCUGCUGGGGUUUCAUUUUUAAUAUUAAAGAGCUCGGCCUUGAGCCUUUACCUACCUAAAUCAAUUCCCUUUUGCCUAGGUCUGGGAUCGAUCCUUUCUCUUCCUCUGGUCUAGUUAGUGACUUCGCUUCCCGCCCUUAAUUAGGAGUUUUGGCUUUGUUAGCCAGGCCUUUGAAACCAAGGAAAGUAGUCAUCAACCCAGAGCUAGUUCUAACAACUACCGAUUCUUCUGGGGCACUGAACCUACCUUAACCUAGGAAAGUGACUUCGAUAGGCCUCCUUCCCCCUUGCUGCUUGAAACUAAAAGUCUGGCAGACAAAGCUAAAUGUGCGAUUUUGAGCUGUCGUCCCGCUUAUGAAUACCUGCUUCUUUCACUCUUUAAGACUGUCGGAUGGUACUUGGUUGUUCCCUAAAGCAUUCCCGUUCGCCCCUUGGCUUCGUUCAAUCAAAAAGCAUUUCUCGCCCCAGGUCUAGGAUCGAGCCCUUCUAUGGAAAAUUCGGUAUUAAGUCAUAGAUGCGCCUUUCGACUGGCAUUCACUCCUCCAACACCAACUGAUUCAAUGUCGCUUGGGAUCGGAUCCUUCCAAAAUUCAUUUCCCCUGGAGCUGUGUUCUUUCCCUCCGAAAUCGAUGAUUCUUGGCUACUUGAUUAGGCAUUUCCAUCUCUCAAACUAGAAAGCGCUUUAGCUUAGGAAAGCUCCUUACUUCGUUUUAUACCGCGAGUGACGAACUAUAGCCAUUCGCGGUCACCGCUGUCCUACUUUACUUUUUUAUUAAACCUCACCCAAGGCAAAUCUCGCCCCAUCAAGCAUUUUCACUCGAGCGAAAACAGCUGACCAAGAGACAAGAGCUACCUCACCAGACUCCAUUACUCCUAAGGCUUCUAGAGAGUCUUACUAAUGGCAUACUUCUUCAGUCGAAUGCUCCUGGGCAAAAGAAAGAUGACAUAGACUAUGCCGUUUAUUCAAAAGAGCCAUCACAGCUUAUGAAAGAACAGCUUGGAAAUGGCUAAUUAGUUUAAGGUACUAACCAACUGAGCCGCAGAGAGCCCUUUUUUCAGUGUUGGCGGAAUAGGACCUGUUGGUGGUUUAAAGGGCAUUACAUUAGGAUAUGGAAUAAAUACGACUUUGGUUCCAGAGAUAGCGAUUCGGCUUAGUGAAAAUAGAACUAAAGAGAACGGGUUCAACUUAUCCCAAUCCUCGCUCUGGACCAAGGUGCGUAGCCUUUUAACAUUCUCUUUCUCUCUUUCUGGCUUAGCCUACCAGGGAAAUGGCUCCUUCUUAUUGAUAGCACAUGUGAGAACACCCUUAAGAGGCAAGCUUCACUAAUAUCCCAGGAAUGGGGAAUGAAAGAACUUCUGCUAUCUACUCACUCUUGCCACUGAGAGGGGAUGAGUGAAUACCUGGAAGAUAAAGUUCUCUUAUUCCCGGGAUCAGGGCAUCGACUGCUUAAUUUAUAAAUUCAUACCCGAUAGCAGUAGCCAAUGUCGGAGUUGGAAGAGGAGCCGUUGGUGCUUUAGUUCCGUAGCUCUUGCCUGAGACGGAAAGUUGGCAAAGGCUUCAGACGCGGUCUCCGGUCUCCCUUUUUGGGCACGUGCCAAUCGGUCUUAAAGCCUCGAUGUCCACUAAAGAAGAUAGAGAUCGAGAGAUGUGGCACUCUUCAUAAUGAUUUAGAAAGGCAAGCAAUAGCUGUUUUAAAAGGCAAAGGUUGACUUUAAUUAGCAGGCUCAAGGUCAAUUUCUUUUUGAGUUCCCGGCCCAAGUCAAGGCGAUGCAAUAGUCGGGCGAUAAGGAAGAAGCAGUCCCAGGCCUUAGGUCCAGAUCUGAGAACUUUCGAGAUGUGAAUCAUAGCCUAGUCUAGUUUCGUACCCAACAGCUAAAAGUGAUGUCAUAUUAAAACUUUAUAGAGAAUCACCCAUCGGCCUUAGGAUCCGAGUUUGAAUUGGCUAGGGGGCAUGAGCGGUAGUCAGUGUCAGUGCUUUUGCUCUUACAUAUGCCAGUCUUUUUUCUGUUGAUGCGAAAUAAGUGGUCUUAGCCUUGAGGUUUGGAUUGAAGCACGUCUAAUAGUCGACGAAAGGACAACAGUUUUCAGGUUAAAAAUUAUUUUAUCCCCAUGCCUUUCAUCCGAGAGGAUGUGGUAGUCUAUCUGAAGAGGUCUCCCUAUCUUUCUUCUAUCUUUAAGAUCUAAUCUAGUUAAUGUUAGAACUUUCUCGAGCAUUCUCUUACGUUACGGAUAGAGCAGUCUUGUCUACCUUUGUUUGGUAUGGAAUGAAGGUAGGUGUCUAUCUAGUCAGAGUGAGGUAUUGUUUUUCGAUCAAAUUUGCUAACUUUCCUUUGAAAUGAAGUCCGGUCGAUCACUCUUCCCUUGAAGUCUCCAGCAUUGACCCCUCUUGGCCUCUUUCAUUAGAAAAGGAAAGCGAAAAAUUAUACAAAAACAAAUUACUCAUCACAGAAGGAAGUUUGAAUCCGUCUAAACCCGAUUUCCUUCGUCUUGUCUACAUUUCAUGACUUCUCCCUACACUUCUCUUCUUGCCCAUCUUCACUCCUAAACCUGGACUUGGACUGGCUCGCUUGAAAGAAAUGUACGAAUGCAGCUCGAAAGAGCGGUCUUCAUCUCGUGCGAAAGACUCAUCCCAGGAAAGUCAAAGAAAAGGUCCGACAGAGCAGCGCCUUCGAAGGGCCAGGGCCUAGAAAUGGAACUCUUCGGGAUGCUAAAGUAAAGAGUCAGUCUUUUUCCCUCUACUCCAGUCGAUUUGAAGAAGAGCUGGCUUCUGACUGUAAGCUAUCAACAUAUCUGGGAAUAACCUUUAUCGAGUCGCAUCGAGAAAGAGUUAAAAGAUCUCUCCGUCGUUACGCCCCUUUGAUUCUCUUGUUUUGGGUGUGGGAUCUUUACCAUCUAGCCAUUGAAAGCAGUCUAGUUAAGUCUUUGAAACCAAGGAAAGCAUUCCAAUCACAUCUGAUGAAACAAUAGGCAGAUUAAAAAAAAAAGAAAAAGAUCAAGGCUAAGAGCAAGUGCCACAGAUGAUUCGAGAACUGCCUACUUUGCUACUGAUGGCAUGGCAUACUUCACUAAAUCGGUCUAAUUUGCCUAUCCCUAUUCUUUCACAAGGCAUUCUAGCAAAGAAAAGAGUCGAGCCUAAGCGGUUCAAGCCUAUGUGACCAAUGCUAGCAUAGCUCUUUCAACCUUAGGGGAUUCAGCUCUAUCCAUUCCGAUUGAAAAAAGAGAUACAAUCUAUUCAUCGAAGCUAGCCACUAUCCUCGUAUAAUAAUGCAGAUCUGUGGGCAUUGGGACUUCUUUGCUCCUUCUCUGAGAGAAACUUCCUCUUAUUCGAUCUUAUUAGCUUAGCCUGGAGAGUUAGCUGAUGCUGAUCUGGUAGUAUCAAAGAGGCGAUUCUCAACAGCUUCAACAGCAGAGAUUAUCGGACAUGAGGAUAGGAUGAAGAUGGUGGGAUGAAGUAGUCUUUAAAAAACCAUUAGUAAGGGAAGGCAAAGAAGUAACUGAGGGAAGGGACCUUUACCAUUUCGCUUCUUCCGCUUUUUGGGGAUUCCACUAAUAGAACAGAACUCGAGGGGAACGAAAGGAGUGACCUUCACUCGGAUUAGGGGCUAACCAUGAAUGUCGAGGUGAGCCGGCAAGACCGGGGAAAGAACCUAAUGAGACCCUGUAUGAAGCUCGGGUGCUUCAUGUAGAGAGAGACCGAAGCCAGUCUAGUUCACUUCAUGAUGCCAGGCAAUGAAUCAGUCAAGUAGCGGCUCCUGGCCGGUCUUUGGUUUGCAGACGUUUGGGAAUAGACCGUCUUCUUGCUCUUUUCUAAUAUUCCAAUAUUCAUCUAGCUUUUUAUGCCUAACAAUUGAAUUACGCUUUCAACCUCGUAUGGGUCAGGUGGUCAAUGAGUUGGUCUUCCCUAUGAGUUAGGAGGAGCCGGGUUAGAAGAAUUGUUAGGGAAGGUCCUUGUAGAUGGUCAGAGUCUAGGGAUAGACUCAUUGACUAGUUAGACUGUCUAAGUACUCGUACCAUUCAUGGAUUAGUUGACCAAUCGUGUCAAUUGAAGGAAUGCAUCUGCACUCUCCUAUAGCCUAUAGGGAGGGAGACCUCUUCCUUCCAGGUCAGAGAAAGAAGACAGAUUCUUGAAGACGUCGAUUGGAAGAGUCUGAGUAUGAUCGUCUUCCGGUGACUUGCAGGAUCCAUUUCCGCCUUCUUGUGCUCCUGUAUUCUCAUCCAAUCGUGGAAGCCAUUCAACGCCCCUCUCUUCGGGACCCUCUUAUUUAGCCCGCAGCUGAAAGGAACUUGAUCAACUCGCUGAGAGAACCAAUCUCUGGUAAGCAGUCACCAGGGCAGCAAGGUCAGGCAACAGAGGUUCCCAAAGAAAGGCCGCCUGGGAGGUUUAGCUUAAAGAAGGAGAAAGAUCUGAGUUAACCCAAAGGAGAGGGAAAGGUAAGAAGUCACUCUUCGAGGCAUAGCGCCGUUCUUUAAGCUGUAUUGACCUUGCGCAUAGCCGGUCUGUUGUCAAAGAAUCUCUCUCAUAGGUUAGCUCUCGGGUAAGCGAGACUGAAAGCUUUCUUCGCUGCAUGAGAGCAAGUAAGAAACAGGAAGAGGUGCGUCUAGCCUUAACCCUUUGGCCAGUUGUCUCUAAUAUUACUUUUUUUUGUGCUAAGGCAUCGGUUUUAGGAAGAUAGGUACAUGCUAUUCUAUUAAAGGGGCGAAGCGCUAGUUCGUGGGAAGAGUCCUUUCCUAGCUCGUCAGCCAGCAUCCACCUCACGAACAAGCAGUCCCACUACGCACUAACUAUCAAUUUCAUAAGAGAAGACAGAUCGUAAGGAGAUUUUCGAUGAGUUAGCACUACCUCGAUGUGACAGAAUAAGAGUAAGAAAGCAGAAAAGUAUUCCUCUGAAAAUAGAACUAGUAGCGGAGUGAAGUAGAGAAGACUUUCAGUUCUGCCUUAGCUAGGGAGGGAGGAGUUGUAGGUAUUGCGCUUAUUCGAUUGCACAGUGGAGACAGCAUUUCUUCUCCUCAUACAACUACCCAGUGGUUUUGGAAUAAGAUAUAGCCUUGUUUUUAUCCUCAUAUGCCUCAGUCAUUCAUUGACUACAGCCGUCCCAAUGUGAACUCACUUUUACCUAGUACUUUUUUUAUUAUAAAGAAGAAUUACUGUAUGUCCUGUCAAUUCAAUAGUGUCUGGCUUCUCGGCUGUACUUAUUUGACUACUUCCCCGAAACUUAACUCUAGGUAAGGCCCUCAAGGUCAAUAAGUAAGGAAAGAAAACUACUAGGCCUCCUCUUCUAGGUUGACUCUAGGCUUCUGACUCUUCUGGGGUUCCUCUCCUCGUAGGCUAGGCGGGCUCCCGACUAACAUUUUAUUACUCCCGGAAAAAAGACCCUAGCAGCAGGAGCGCAUUUUUAAAUAAAUUAAAUAAGACCGACCAAGUGCCACUCAAAAGUCUUCUUCUGCUCUCUGAAUCUUAUAUUCAUUCGAAGCUAAGCCAGCUUGCCGGGAAAUCGCUUUCUAAUCUUCUCUGGGCGGAUUCAUCUUCUAGUUUUCGCUAUUCUAUGCAAACAAAACUCCUUCCUAGCUAGGCUUCUCCUUUCCCAGGAGAACUCUUUCUCUUCUAGGUUGACUCUUCUCCGAACUCUUCUUUUAGAACCAGAACAAGGGCAAGCCCUCUAAGCUAUUUAAAAAAUAAAAAUAUAAGUAACAACAAUUGCUAUUGAAUCUCCGGCUAUAGAAUAAGCGGAUUCUAUAAAAAGUAAUUCUUCUUCUUUGACGGCAGGAACACAUUCUGACUUGAAGUUGAAAGAUGCAAAGUCAAGAAUAUCAUAAGUCAAGCAGUUUCUAAAGAAAAGAUUGAUGCUAGCUCCGCUUCCUUCUCUAAUUUUAUGGGUAGGGCCUUCCACAGCGGGAACACGUUCUUCAAAUUGAAAGCAAGAAAGACCAAUGUCAUUCACGCGCUUACUUUACUUCCCAUUCUGGUCGAGUUCGCCGCUUCGAAGCUAGGAUUCCUCUUUUUUUUUUCUAUCUACGAACGUAAAAAUAUGUGAUGUGGUAUCUUACUUAUCUUAGUCUUAGAGAUUGGAUCUUAUUCAAAUGAAAAUGAAAAGCCUACCCAUCCCAGCUAUGAAAUCAGUAGAAGGAACACAGCCGAUUUGGAAACAUUCUCCGAUUCCUCUACAGAAUAUGGUUGAGCAAAAGAAACCGACUCAGCAACAAAGACAAGUGGUAGCAUACUAUGUUUCUUCAUAGGAUUAGGAGAUAUAAUAUGAUCGAGCAACAAAAAUUGGUUCAGCGGUUAGAGUUAUACUAUCUUAUUUUUAUAGAAUCGAUUACUGAUUGGAGACAUCAACCGAUGAGGAGACAACCUCUGAUUAAGUGACCUCUUUAUAGAUCAACCUUUCCCGGGAAAGAAGUUUUCUUCUCUAAAGCAGACUCCAUGGCACCAAACUAUUAGGAUUAGAAGACAGAAUCUGGUUCUGUGGGGGAAGGAAGACCUGACUUCAGGAGUGAAAGUGAAGUUCCUACAAAGGAAGAUUCAUUAGUUCUAUUUAAGAUUCUUAUUCAAGAUCCGUUAUUAUUAUUAUAUUUAUAAAUAAUAAUAAAAAAGCUUACCCUUGAUUUCCAAAAGGGAAAAAGCCCUUCAAAGUAAAGAAAGAAAGGCUAGUGCCACGGACUCUUAAACGAAAGGAAAUGAAUGAGUUCCAGAUCCAUUUAUGGCGUCCCGAGUUCUUUAUUCUCUUUGCUCGGCUUCUUUUUCUAUUGAUCAGAAGCAUCAAGCAGCGCCGGUUUAGAAUUCGAUUCUAAGAAAGGGCUCAGGCCCUCCCCCCUCCCUUUUUUUAUCCCAUUCUUGCUUUCAACUAUUGAAAAUUCUGUCUAUUUCACCGCCAUACCAAAAAAAAAGUAUCCUACUUUGCGUGAUGGUCAUAUAUGAUGACCAAUCUUAUCAAUUGGAACGAUGUUCAGGCAUACCUGAAAGCAACCAAUGUCACUGAAGCUACUACUAGGAAGCUUCUUGACUUUAUAGGACAGUCGUCAUACUUCUUGCUUUUCUUGGAAGCGUCGUGCGUAUGUUCCUAAGGCUGGCCUUGUCAAUUCCUAAGCUUUGCUUCCCCGUCCCCCCUAGGCUUAGUCCCCUUAUGAAUCAAAAUUUACCAGGAUAGGCCUCUUCUUCAUACUGAAGAAAAAGUCACUCGAAGUAGUCAGCUUAUUAGCAGUAUAAGAGGAAGCCUAGCUAAAUAAGUAUGUAAGAAGCUUCCCUUUAACUUAAGGCUUGAGCUUGCCCUUUUCAUAACAUCAAAUUCGGCCUAGAACGCCUAGCGACUAUUACUAUAAAUAAGAAAAGGCUAGGUGUCCAUGCCACCAACCAACUCCUGAAAGAAAACAAGAGCUUCUCCGUCCGACAAACCACUAGAAGUACCCAUCGAGUCGAGCAAUGAUCCAAUGAAGCAAGCUGCUCUUUGUCACCCCAUUUUCCCCGGGAAACAAGAGCAGGAGCAGCCCAUUCAGGCUUGGUCAAUGAAAAUUUUACUAUUAAUAGGCCGGAACCGUAGCCAAUGAGUCUGCUCCACUCCUCUUUGUUCUGCACCACUUGGCUAUAGCUAUUUCCCCACCUAGGAUCCCCAAAAAAAUAGCAUAAUAUAUAAUAUAAUAAAGUGAAAGAUUAGAUUGUUACAGAAGACCAGAUCGAGGGAAGGUACCGGACAAUCAAAGAAAGAAGCCAGCUUAAAAGCACCCUGGUCGAAGCGAAGCGCAUGCGAUGAGGGAAGAGAGAGACCACCAAUGCAAGUGGAUCGACUUAAGCAUCGAUUUCGAAGGCGACAACAUGAAGCAUGAAAAUAGAGCCAGCCACUUUUCUCGUUAAUAAUGCUACAAGCAACAAUGAGAAAACACGCUCUUGGAUGCAUGCAUGCCCCUAUCCCCCACCCAUCGUCCUGAUCUUGGCUUGAAGUAUCCAACCCGAUCUUGGCUUGGAGUAUCCAAGUAGCGCUAAAAUGAAAAAGCGAACUAUUGGAAUUCUUGGGCUUAGCCUUUGAAUUGCCCUGGAUCAGUCCUAUACUAGGUCACAAUCAACCCAUAACUUAAAAUAAAAGAAAAAGAUCGAAGUCGAGAAGCUCAUCGCUCAUGCUUCCAACCCGUGCUUUCAACCCCGGAAAGACUUCGUUGACACACACAAUAUCUUCACCACCCUCCCGACUCGCGAUCCCCAAUGUGGCUUUCCUCACUUCGGUAAGUUACAAGGAUGAAUGCAAAUAGCAAGGCGCUAUGCUGCGUGAAGUGAGACUGGCUGCCCUAAGUUAAGUGCUUCCUUAUUCAUUAAUGAUCUUGCUCAGUAGGAGGGCUUUCCCCCUUCUGUGCAGCCUGAUUCUAUCUCUGGAAAUGAGGUUGCCCUCGAUUGACAUUUAUCAUCGAAUAUGGAAUCCUCCCAUGGAUGAGAAGGUUGAGUUACAGACUCCGUUGGCUUUCGCAGGGAAGCAUCUCGAAAGUUCCGUAAUCUAUGGUUGAUGCCUCACUCGAACUCUAUCCCAUUCCCUACUUUACUUUAUUCGUCCGAGCGGCCCCUCUAGGAUGCGAUGCGGGAAGGAAGAAGGAUUUCUUUCUACCAUUAAAUAAUUCGCAAUAGUUAACCAAGCAGUAGCCAAGAACAAAGAAGCAAGCCAAGAUCAAUGGAGGGUCGCCCCAGUCAAAGAUGGUAAGGAGUAGCAUCAAUAACAUUCAUUGUAUGUACGCCUCUCAGCGAUCCACAGGCAUCUGUAGCAUGUUGUACCCGAGGGUCAUUUGGGCUGUGUCCGUUACACCAUGGACAAUAAUCUUAGUCGGAAUCAAAUUCCUUACCUUUCAACCUAAAGCUGAACAUAUCCGCACAGGUAUUCUAUUUAUUGAGGAUCCAUUUUCUAAAAAUGCCCCCUUUUGAUUAGCCAGUUUCUAAGGGGGAGAAGCAAGCCGAACCUCUGAUUGACCUAGACACAAAAAAUUCUCGGCGUCGAGAAAGAUUUGAGAUUCCGUAAGUAACAAAGUGAGUGCUUUCUAAGGGAAAAAGAAAAUGAAAUACGAACAACCGCGCUAGUCGUAAUAGAUCGACUUUCAUGCUAGUUCUUGCUCCAGCAUGAAAGUUCCAUUUCAGGGAAGGACGACGUACCAUGAUACUUUCUGUUUUGUCGAGCCUUGCUUUGGUCUCUGGUUUGAUGGUUGUACGUGCUAAAAAUCCGGUACAUUCCGUUUUGUUUCCCAUCCUAGUCUUUUGCGACACUUCAGGUUUACUUCUUUUGUUAGGUCUCGACUUCUCCGCUAUGAUCUUCCCAGUAGUUCAUAUAGGAGCUAUAGCCGUUUCAUUCCUAUUCGUUGUUAUGAUGUUCCAUAUUCAAAUAGCGGAGAUUCACGAAGAAGUAUUACGCUAUUUACCAGUGAGUGGUAUUAUUGGACUGAUCUUUUGGUGGGAAAUGUUCUUCAUUUUAGAUAAUGAAACCAUUCCAUUACUACCAACCCAAAGAAAUACGACCUCUCUGAGAUAUACGGUUUAUGCCGUAAAGGUACGAAGUUGGACUAAUUUGGAAACAUUGGGCAAUUUACUUUAUACCUACUAUUUCGUCUGGUUUUUGGUUCCUAGUCUGAUUUUAUUAGUAGCCAUGAUUGGGGCUAUAGUACUAACUAUGCAUAGGACUACCCACGGAGCGGUGAAAAGACAGGAUGUAUUCCGACGAAAUGCUAUUUCUUUUAGGA